UACGUAGGGUGCAAGCGUUGUCCGGAAUUAUUGGGCGUAAAGAGCUCGUAGGCGGUUUGUCGCGUCUGCUGUGAAACAUCGGGCGGUACCCGGCUUACCGGCAGAGGUGCGGGCAGACUAGAGUGCGGUAGGGGAGACUGGAAUUCCUGGUGUAGCGGUGAAAUGCGCAGAUAUCAGGAGGAACACCGGUGGCGAAGGCGGGUCUCUGGGCCUUACCUGACGCUGAGGAGCGAAAGCGUGGGUAGCGAACAGG
rnacentral:rRNA from 1 species